rnacentral:rRNA from 1 species
CCUACGGGAGGCAGCAGUGAGGAAUAUUGGUCAAUGGGCGCGAGCCUGAACCAGCCAAGUCGCGUGAGGGAUGACUGCCCUGCGGGUUGUAGACUUCUUUUAUCAAGGAAUAAAAUGAGGCACGUGUGCCGUUUUGUAUGUACUUUAUGAAUAAGGAUCGGCUAACUCCGUGUCAGCAGCCGCGGUAAUACGGAGGAUCCGAGCGUUAUCCGGAUUUAUUGGGUUUAAAGGGAGCGUAGAUGGGGUGUUAAGGCAGUUGUGAAAGUUUGGGGCUCAACCGUAACAUGGCAAUUGAUACUGGCAGCCUUGAGUACAGUGGAGGUAGGCGGAAUGCGUGGUGUAGCGGUGAAAUGCUUAGAUAUCGCGAAGAACCCCGAUUGCGAAGGCAGCCUACUAUACUGCCACUGACGUUGAGGCACGAAAGUGUGGGUAUCAAACAGGAUUAGAUACCCGAGUAGUC